CUCCAAAGGGCUAAAAUGAUUUUCUCAAAAUAUUGAAAGAGGAGCUUGCAGAAUCUAGUUCUUCUGCCACUCAAUCUAUUCCUUUUUCCACUACAUCAUGGGACUAUGCUUUGUACUCCCAACCAAGUCUGGAGUGCUUGGCAGUGACGUAUGAGACUGGAGAGCAGAGGACUGUUAUCUGUAGAAGACAGGUAUUUGACCAGAGCUGUGCUGCAGGAUGCAGGCAGACGGACAAGUUGACACCGAAGAGCCAAUGCACAGGCCACAAGAAAAACAUCCACAGUGAAGCUGCAGUGACAGCCUCUCCUUACUGGGCAAAGUCAGCUUACCUCCCACUCCCAUCGGUCCUACCGCCAGAACCAUUGCGGAAUCCUGAACUAUGAACCUCCGUGUUCACUUCUCUAGAGGAACUGCCUUAGCUGUCACAGGAAUGAGACCCCAAGUCAACCAGUUUGCACUAUGGGAUCCUGCCUGCUGGGCCAACUUGACUGGGAUUAAGGUUGACUGGGGAACCAAGGUCAUUGAGGUCUCUUAUGGCCCCAGGCUGGCAGAAGCUCCAUCUCAAUCCACACUUUCAUCAUCAUACAGUUUGGCAAGACAAAGUAUGGGCUGAAUAUAUAAUUUGAACAUAUAAUUAUUUCUUGAUAACUACAAAGCAAGUGCUGGAGGACUUCCAGAAUCCUUUGGUAUUGGAUGUACCUAGACAAAUGGUAUACUCAUGUGUAACACAGGUAAAGAAGAAAAACCAAUCCCAAGAGAAACUCUGUAGCGUAAGGCUUCUGUUCAGUGUGUGGCGAGUGGUACUGUGCUGCUAAGGACACUGUGCUAGAAUGAACAUUGUCUGGGUUCCAAUUGAGGUCUUUCACGCAUCAGCUGUGUGGCCUCAGAUGAGCCAUUUCAUAUCUCCGGCAUCCUCCUCUAUGAAAUGGGUGUAAUAAUAUCUGACCUACCUACUGCGUGGCAAUCUUGGAUCUAAACAGCCUUGGAUCUGUAGAACCAUUUUUAUAGAGCACUUUGCCUUAUUUGUACACAGUACAUUUGUACUUCUCAUUUCAUCUUUUAUCUGAUGCAAUCACCGAAUAACCCAGUGAGGUAGGAAAGCGCAGUUAUUAUCUUCAUGGUACAGAUGACUAAACUGUGAGCUCUGUAACAGCGUGUUCUGUCCUAGCCCCAAUCCCUAGAAUGGUGCCUGGCCACUAACGUUGCUGUUGACCAGUGUAGCCCAAUAGGAAUCACAGAGGCCAGUAAUAAAAGGGAUUAGGGCAUUGGUUUUGGAUCCA
rnacentral:lncRNA from 13 species